rnacentral:rRNA from 1 species
GGGUAGUACACGUGAGUACCUGCCCUAACUCUGGAUUAGCCUGGAAACUGGGUCUAAUACCGAAUAGGAGCGUCCACCGCAUGGUGGGUGUGGGAAAGAUUAAUCGGUUUUGGAUGAACUCGCGGCCUAUCAGCUUGUGGGUGAGGUAAUGGCUCACCAAGGCGACGACGGGUAGCCGGCCUGAGAGGGUGACCGGCCACACUGGGACUGAGACACGGCCCAGACUCCUACGGGAGGCAGCAGUGGGGAAUAUUGCACAAUGGGCGCAAGCCUGAUGCAGCGACGCCGCGUGAGGGAUGACGGCCUUCGGGUUGUAAACCUCUUUCAGUAGGGAAGAAGCGAAAGUGACGGUACCUGCAGAAGAAGCACCGGCUAACUACGUGCCAGCAGCCGCGGUAAUACGUAGGGUGCGAGCGUUAUCCGGAAUUAUUGGGCGUAAAGAGCUCGUAGGCGGUUUGUCGCGUCUGUCGUGAAAGUCCGGGGCUUAACCCCGGAUCUGCGGUGGGUACGGGCAGACUAGAGUGCAGUAGGGGAGACUGGAAUUCCUGGUGUAGCGGUGGAAUGCGCAGAUAUCAGGAGGAACACCGAUGGCGAAGGCAGGUCUCUGGGCUGUAACUGACGCUGAGGAGCGAAAGCAUGGGGAGCGAACAGGAUUAGAUACCCUGGUAGUCCAUGCCGUAAACGUUGGGCACUAGGUGUGGGGACCAUUCCACGGUUUCCGUGCCGCNGACGUCACGCCAUUCGCCUGUCCUAGCCUUCUAUCGUG